rnacentral:rRNA from 1 species
AUUGAACGCUGGCGGCAUGCCUUACACAUGCAAGUCGAACGGCAGCACGGGAGCAAUCCUGGUGGCGAGUGGCGAACGGGUGAGUAAUAUAUCGGAACGUGCCCGGUCGUGGGGGAUAACGUAGCGAAAGCUACGCUAAUACCGCAUACGAUCUACGGAUGAAAGCGGGGGAUCGCAAGACCUCGCGCGAUUGGAGCGGCCGAUAUCAGAUUAGGUAGUUGGUGAGGUAAAGGCUCACCAAGCCGACGAUCUGUAGCUGGUCUGAGAGGACGACCAGCCACACUGGGACUGAGACACGGCCCAGACUCCUACGGGAGGCAGCAGUGGGGAAUUUGGACAAUGGGCGCAAGCCUGAUCCAGCAAUGCCGCGUGCAGGAUGAAGGCCUCGGUUGUAA